GACGAACGCUGGCGGCGUGCUUAACACAUGCCAGUCGAACGAAGAGCGAUGGAAGCUUGCUUCUAUCAAUCUUAGUGGCGAACGGGUGAGUAACGCGUAAUCAACCUGCCCUUCAGAGGGGGACAACAGUUGGAAACGACUGCUAAUACCGCAUACGAUCUAACCUCGGCAUCGAGGAUAGAUGAAAGGUGGCCUCUACAUGUAAGCUAUCACUGAAGGAGGGGAUUGCGUCUGAUUAGCUAGUUGGAGGGGUAACGGCCCACCAAGGCGAUGAUCAGUAGCCGGGCUGAGAGGAUGAACGGCCACAUUGGGACUGAGACACGGCCCAGACUCCUACGGGAGGCAGCAGUGGGGAAUCUUCCGCAAUGGACGAAAGUCUGACGGAGCAACGCCGCGUGAGUGAUGACGGCCUUCGGGUUGUAAAGCUCUGUUAAUCGGGACGAAAGGCCUUCUUGCGAAUAGUUAGAAGGAUUGACGGUACCGGAAUAGAAAGCCACGGCUAACUACGUG
rnacentral:rRNA from 1 species